GACAGAGGGUGCGAACGUUGUUCGGAAUUACUGGGCGUAAAGCGCGUGUAGGCGGCCUGGCAAGUCGGAUGUGAAAGCCCCUGGCUCAACCGGGGAAGUGCAUCCGAAACUACCGAGCUCGAGUGCCGGAGAGGGAAGUGGAAUUCCCGGUGUAGAGGUGAAAUUCGUAGAUAUCGGGAGGAACACCAGUGGCGAAGGCGGCUUCCUGGACGAGCACUGACGCUGAGACGCGACAGCGUGGGGAGCAAACAGG
rnacentral:rRNA from 1 species